UACGUAGGUGGCAAGCGUUGUCCGGAUUUACUGGGUGUAAAGGGCGUGUAGGCGGGUGCUUAAGUCAGUGGUGAAAUACCGAGGCUCAACUUCGGGGCUGCCAUUGAAACUGGGCAUCUUGAGUGCAGGAGAGGAAAGCGGAAUUCCUAGUGUAGCGGUGAAAUGCGUAGAUAUUAGGAGGAACACCAGUGGCGAAGGCGGCUUUCUGGACUGUAACUGACGCUGAGGCGCGAAAGCGUGGGGAGCAAAC
rnacentral:rRNA from 1 species